GGCCCGGUAGUUCAACAGGAUAGAAUAGAAGCCUCCUAAGCUCCAGAUCUGGGUUCGAGUCCCGGCCGGGUCA
rnacentral:tRNA from 2 species